GUACUGAUGAAGAGUCCCAAACUAGGACGAAACAGAUCUCCAGUAC
rnacentral:hammerhead_ribozyme from 1 species